rnacentral:rRNA from 1 species
UACGAAGGGGGCUAGCGUUGCUCGGAAUCACUGGGCGUAAAGCGCACGUAGGCGGACUCUUAAGUCGGUGGUGAAAUCCUGGAGCUCAACUCCAGAACUGCCUUCGAUACUGGGAGUCUUGAGUCCGAGAGAGGUGAGUGGAACUGCGAGUGUAGAGGUGAAAUUCGUAGAUAUUCGCAAGAACACCAGUGGCGAAGGCGGCUCACUGGCCCGAUACUGACGCUGAGGCACGAAAGCGUGGGGAGCAAACAGG